rnacentral:rRNA from 1 species
UUUUGACUGUGCUAAGGUAGCAUAAUCAUUAGAUAUUUAAUUGAUAUCUUGUUUGAAUGGUUACAUGAAAUAAAUUCUUUUUUAUUUUUAUUUUAAAAACUUUAUUUUUUAGUUAAAAAGCUAAAAUUUUAAAAAGGGACGAGAAGACCCUAUAGAAUUUUAUAAUAUAUUAUUUAUUUUUAUUUAUUAUUUUAUAAUAUAUAUGUAUAAUAUUAUUUUAUUGGGGUGAUAAUUAAAUUUAUUUAACUUUUAAAUCAUGUUUCAUUUAUAUUUGUAAAUUUGAUCUUUUUUUAUUGAUUAAAAAAAUAAAUUACCUUAGGGAUAACAGCAUAAUAUUAUUAAAAAGUUCAUAUUUUUAAUAUUGUUUAUGACCUCGAUGUUGGAUUAAAUAAAAUUAUUAUAUGAAGAAAUAUAAAAAAUUAGUCUGUUCGACUAUUAAUUAUUUACAUGAUCUGAGUUCAAACCGGUGUGAUCCAGGUCGGUUUCUAUCU